GUGUAGGGCCGGCCCAGCGACUUGCUGUAACUAAUGGAAGGUGGCAGAAGUGACUGACGGAUCCGGGUCUAAGCCUUAAGGACUAGAAGCUUCUGCUUUUACUUAUUUAGGACCCCUGAGCGGACAUGUAAGAAGUCCAACCAUGUUCCUGAAGAGACCACAUGGAGAUGCCAUGUGAGAGAGAAGCUCUCAAACUACAUACAAGAGAACUGAGGAGCCCAGCUGACAGUAAGGACGGAGGCCCCACACGUAGGAUCCCAGUGGAGCCGUUAGAGCCAGCUGUGGAGGUGUCUUAGCCGAGCACGAAGAAGUAUCAAGGACAGAUCACAGAGAUAAAGAAAGUGAAGCCGGAUCUUUGGGAAUUGGAUAUGGCUUCUCAACUACACAUCUGGGAUUAGAGAAAGACUCUGCUUGAAGUUUCCAUCUUGGAUUAUUUUAACAGCCUGUGUCAUAGGCUUCUGUCUCCGAUCAACGUACUCAGCCUGUUGUUCUCAGCCAGCUUCCCUGAACGGCAACUUUCCUCCUGUUACUGAGGUUAAAAAUCUUUACAUACAACCCCU
rnacentral:lncRNA from 1 species